rnacentral:lncRNA from 1 species
CGGGGUUCUCCAUGGGAGAACUUGUCCCCCUGGUGACAAGAUCUAGCCCGGUGCAGCCUGCUUCCCUCAGCUUUUCCGGGGCUCGGCUCUUACAGAGGAGCACUACUUCCUGUCACUAGACACCUGGCGAAACACUCAAACAUCGAAAGCUGAGAACGAAACAAAUAUGUUGAAAACCCACUCAUAACAAACAGGAGAUUCAACUCAGAAUGAAGAUGAAUCAAAACCUCAAGGUAAUGAUAUACCUGGAUGAGGUGAGACCCAAGUGGGUCAGAAGGCUCUGGGAGGGAGAUCUCGAAAUCCUUACUUGCUAAGCUUCCAGAAGCCCAUGGCAAAGGAAGAAGAGCGGAGGAGCACCAAACGGAAGAGGACAGAAGAGAAUGAGGCCCAGGUGGAGGACAGCGCGGCCCAGGCGGAGAACAGCGCGGCCCAGGCGGAGAACAGCGCGGCCCAGGCGGAGAACAGCGCAGCCCAGGCAGAGGCUGAGCGUUUGGAAGCUGAAAAUAGGCAAAGGGUCAUCAAUCUCCGUGUUGGAUAAGAGCCCCAACAGAAAGCUCAAACGCUCAGUUUUCGUGCUUUACCAUCGAGGGAUGCCCAAGAGGGACACCAGCGAACCUGAGCUAGAGCCUGAGCCCGAGCCGGAGCUGCAGUUCUUCGAGGAAUCCUCGGAGUCCAACGUGUUGGAUCAAGAAAUGGAGGACGAGGAGGAGGAGGAGGCGUAUGAAGAAGAGGAGGAGAAGGAUGAAUGAUCCGAAGAGUCCAGGCCAGCCGAGGAGAAGUCCGAGCAUGAGACUGACAGCACUAUCUUAGAGGCACCCUCGGCCUCUGCCUCUAUUCUCAGAUCGGCCCAUGAUUCCACCUCAACCUCCAUGUCCAACUCCACCAAAGAGGUGGCAAAGCACCUGUACAUUGGGGACAGAUUCAGGUUCGUGGGAAAAACUUGUGAAAAAUACAACAUACUGGAGACAAUAAAAGGGGCCUCUGUGUGUAUUUCUGCCUGUUUUCUGAAGGCUGGGAAGGAAGG